rnacentral:rRNA from 1 species
GCCAGACUCCUACGGGAGGCAGCAGUGGGGAAUAUUGGGCAAUGGAGGCAACUCUUACCCAGCAAUGCCGCGUGAAUGAAGAAGGUCUUCGGAUUGUAAAGUUCUUUAAUUGGGGACGAAAAAAAUGACGGUACCCAAGGAAUAAGCCCCGGCUAACUACGUGCCAGCAGCCGCGGUAAUACGUAGGGGGCGAGCGUUAUCCGGAUUCACUGGGCGUAAAGGGAGCGCAGGCGGCACGGCAAGUCCGGUGUGAAAGCCCGGGGCCCAACCCCGGGACUGCACUGGAAACUGCCGGGCUGGAGUGUCGGAGGGGCAGGCGGAAUUCCUAGUGUAGCGGUGAAAUGCGUAGAUAUUAGGAGGAACACCGGUGGCGAAGGCGGCCUGCUGGACGACGACUGACGCUGAGGCUCGAAAGCGUGGGGAGCAAACAGGAUUAGAUACCCGAGUAAG